rnacentral:rRNA from 1 species
AUGGCUCAUUAAAUCAGUUAUCGUUUAUUUGAUAGUACCUUACUACUUGGAUACCCGUGGUAAUUCUAGAGCUAAUACAUGCUGAAAACCCCGACUUCGGAAGGGGUGUAUUUAUUAGAUAAAAAACCAAUGCCCUUCGGGGCUACUUGGUGAUUCAUAAUAACUUAACGGAUCGCAUGGCCUUGCGCCGGCGACGGUUCAUUCAAAUUUCUGCCCUAUCAACUUUCGAUGGUAAGGUAUUGGCUUACCAUGGUUUCAACGGGUAACGGGGAAUAAGGGUUCUAUUCCGGAGAGGGAGCCUGAGAAACGGCUACCACAUCCAAGGAAGGCAGCAGGCGCGCAAAUUACCCAAUCCCGACACGGGGAGGUAGUGACAAUAAAUACUGAUACAGGGCUCUUUUGGGUCUUGUAAUUGGAAUGAGUACAAUUUAAAUCCCUUAACGAGGAACAAUUGGAGGGCAAGUCUGGUGCCAGCAGCCGCGGUAAUUCCAGCUCCAAUAGCGUAUAUUAAAGUUGUUGCAGUUAAAAAGCUCGUAGUUGAACCUUGGGCCUGGCUGGCCGGUCCGCCUCACCGCGUGUACUGGUCCGGCCGGGCCUUUCCUUCUGGAGAGCCCCAUGCCCUUCACUGGGUGUGCGGGGGAACCAGGACUUUUACUUUGAAAAAAUUAGAGUGUUCAAAGCAGGCCUUUGCUCGAAUACGUUAGCAUGGAAUAAUAGAAUAGGACGUGUGGUUCUAUUUUGUUGGUUUCUAGAACCGCCGUAAUGAUUAAUAGGGAUAGUCGGGGGCAUCAGUAUUCAAUUGUCAGAGUGAAAUUCUUAGA